rnacentral:rRNA from 1 species
GGAAGUGAACCAUCUCAGUACCCCCAGGAAGAGAAAACAAGAGUGAUUCCGUCAGUAGCGGCGAGCGAACGCGGAAGAGCCCAAACCGUGCAGGCGUGAUAGCCCGUGAGCGUUGCCUGUGCGGGGUUGAGGGACGUUGCUUGGUCCGGUCACGGCCGGUCCGGGAAGUUACAAAUCACCAGCCUAGUCGAAAGCGUCUGGAACGAACUGCCAUAGAGGGUGAUAGCCCCGUAGGCGAAAGGUUGGUGACUUCCUUGUAGCGCUCCCGAGUACCACGGGGCACGUGAAACCCUGUGGGAAGCUGGGUCGACCAUGACCCAAGGCUAAAUACUCCUCUGCGACCGAUAGUGAACAAGUACCGUGAGGGAAAGGUGAAAAGCACCCCUGUUAGGGGAGUGAAAUAGUACCUGAAACCGUGUAUCUACAAGCAGUGGAAGCGCUAUGGCCCUCGUGGUCACGCGCGACCGCGUGCCUUUUGCAUAAUGAGCCGGCUAGUUA